ACCAUUUACUACCUUUGCAAAUUUUAUUUGAAAAUUUAUUGUAUUUUCGAGAUAUUAAAAAUAUAAAUCUAUGAGUCGAGUUUGUGAUGAAUUAUCUAGUCGCGCCCCUAGCUAGAUAUAUGACUCUAAAUUCUAGGUUAUACCUAUAGAAAUAAAGUUUUAUAUUCUAAAAUAUUUUUAUAUAAAUUUGGGCCUAAAUAAAUUUAUUUACUUAAAUAUAUUUAUCAUGGACAUUAUAUUAAUUUUUGGAUUAAGAAUAAAAUAUUUCAUAAUUUUUUUAAGUGUGCUUAUUGUUAUUAAUGUGCCAAAUUCUUUUGCAAUGAUCCUAAAACAAUUAUUCAAGUUUCAACAUUUAUAGUUUAUUAAUGAUUUUAAGGAUUUGGAUACCUUAUUUUCGUAUCUGCAAAUUUACAAUUUCUACUCUAUUUAUUUACAUUUGUUUAAAGAAGUCUCCAAGCCAGCCAUUCCUAUUUUCAUUCUUAUCAGAUAUCUAACCGCUCUAAUUAAAUAAAUGACUUUGAACUAUAGAUUAUAUUUAUAAAAAGAUACAAAUUUAUAUUAUCAAAUAUUUUUAAUAAAUAUGUUGGGCCAUAGUUUUUAUUCUUUUUCUAUGAUAGUUGGGUUAAAAUUUUAUUAUUUGAAAGCUCAUUUAUCAUCUUUAAAGCCCAAUUAUUAUUAUAAGCUCAUAUGUCUUUCUUUAAUUAAAAUGAGAUGUUACGUGGUUCAGUUUUUCCUUAGCCAAAUAUUCUGAUUUAAUCUCCUUCAGCCACCUAAUUUUAUUCAGCCACGUAUCACUCACUGCCAUCACAUUUAAAAUUCACCCAAAUAACUUGCUAGGUUUCAUUUCAUCAAAAUUUCCAGAGCACAAAUUUCAUUCAAGUUAACAGACUUCUCAUUUCUGUUCCUUCACAAAACUUCAGCUGGUAAUUUUAUUGUUUCGGUGAGAUUUCAUGUUUUAAUUCAUCACAGCAAAUUACUACGUUUUUUUUUCAUUCUCAUUUAUUUAUUUUGUGAAACAACACUAGCCCAUUUAUUUAUCAUACAUUACAAGCCCAUAUAUAUAUAUAUAUAUAUAUAUAUAUAUAUAUAUAUUAUUAAUGUGUAAAUAAAUUUUUAUGAAAAUGACUUCAGCUACAUAUCCACAUUUACUCAGCUUCAGCCAUAUAUCACUGUAGUACCUUUCCGUCAGAUUUGAUCAAAACUACAGCAAAACUUUGAUUUCAAAAGCAGCAUGAUCAAUACAGCAGCAAAACUUUGAUCAGCAAACUUUGAUUUCUUUCACAUUCAAAUCUUUGACGAACAAGUAAUUUACUACCUAUUUAAAUAUGACCAUCAUCGCUGCAAAUUUUACAAAGCAAAACUAUACUUUCGGAAAAAUCAAGUUUUUCUUUAUUUUUCCAAAUAUUUUUUUAUAUGAAUUUGGACCUCAAUAAAUUAUAGCUUAUUUAUAUUGGAGCAGAUUUAUGAUGUUGGGCCAAAUAUAUUAUGUAACUUUGCAUAAUUUUAAAACAUUAGCUAUUAUUAAAUAUAAAUUUUAUUCUUAACAUUUUAGUAUAAUUUGGGCCUUGUAUAAAAUAUUUUUGUAGGCUAUUUGUUUGAAGCCUCACUUGUAUUCAUGGGGUAAAAAUAUUGAAAAACCCAUAAUAUUUUAGAUACUUAUCGAAUGUGAUUCUUUAAAUUUUUUGUAGAAUUUCAACCACAACUUUAAUUCUUCCAGUUUAAGAAUCCUCCUCAGCCAUCCAAUUUAUUUAGUCAAUCUUGUGCAAUAAGGAAUUCAUUUUAUCCUUUCCACCGCCUCAUUUUUUUUAUAAAAUUAGCUUCUCUCAUUUUCUGGAAAUAUUUCGAAAAUACAGCAAGCCAAAUUUGAUUUCCACAGCAGCAAAUUUUGAAGCAGCAAACUUUGAAGCAACAAAGUUUGAUUGAUCUCUUUUCACACUUUCACACGUUCUAUGUCAAAUAUUUCAAUCUAUUUAAACAUCAAUGUAUCAUUCUCAAAUUCACAAAUCAACAAAAAUUCACUCAAAUAUUUCCAAUUCGCAGCAACUGAUUUACUUCACUCAUUCAAGCUGGUAAUUUUAAUAACUUUCGAAAAGUUAUUUCAUUUCAAGCAUAUCAACAAUUUUCUGCAUUUUCGCCAAAACCAAUGCUAAACAUCAAAAACUUUGUUUUCAAAAUCCAAUCAUGCAUACAUCUAUUUUUCUGUAAUUUAUAUAUAUUGCUAAAUACAUGAAAAAGAAAAUAGAAUAAAUCUUAUAUAUUACAUGAGAAAUAGAGAUAGAAGAAGUGGAAGAGGGAUGGUGGCUUAGAAACAAGGGGGCGGUUGAGCAGCAGUAUUGCCGGCGCUGCACGUCGGCCGGCGGAAGGAGACAGGGGCGGCGGCGCUGUGGUCUCGACCGCUGCCGUGCCUUGCUGGUCGAGACAGAGGGAGCAGGAGGCGGCGAUGGAAGCCCCGCUGCUGCUGUCGGCCAGGAGGUGAAGGAGAUGAGGGAGGCGGUGACUAGGCGGCGCUGCUGUCGACGUGGGAGCGACGAUGGCGGCCGUUGCUACCGGCCGAAGGAGAGAGGGAGGGGGCUGUAGACACGGGGGUGAGGUCGUUGGAGAGAGAGACGACGCAGAGAGGGAGAGUGAGGGCGAGAGCCGCCAGCUCCGGCGGCGGCGUUGCCGUCUGGUGGCGGCGGAAGGGUGAGACCGAGGGAGAGAAGGAGAGAGGGAGAAAGGGGAAGAAGGGAGCUGCGCAUGGAGCGUGUAUUGUGAAGUAGUGGUGUGUGUGUGAGAUCUUUAAGUUAGGGCAAGAGAGGAGAGUGGGCUUGGGCUUAGGCCUAAGCUAAUUUAUGAAUGGGCUAAGUUUAUCAAGUGUUUGGACUAGCAUUUUAUUUAGUUAAUUCUUUUAAGCAGUGCGGCGCGACUAGGACGUGAACUUUAAAUUCUUGCAGUUAAUUUUCAAAACUCAAAAGUUCAAGUUUCAGGUGUGGGAUUUAUUUCAGUACAUGCACGUGGUUAAUAUUUGUCCAUUUUAAUAUUAUGUGUUUACCGUAUGUGUUGUAAAAAUAUUUAUCGCUAGGGGCCAGCAUAAUUGGUCCAGGACUUCACCGUCCUUGGUAUGCCACAAUGCGAUUUCACGUUACAGGGUUGCAACCAUUAUAUUGUCGCCAGGGAUCCAUAUAUAGGGUCCGGGACAUUAAAGUCCUUGGAGUUGCCACAGUGCGUAUGGAAGUUAUGUUACGUUAUGACAAUAUGUGUUACCAUUUUAUUAACAUGGACAAUUAUUGCAUGUUCCCACACUGAGUGUACCCUGUAUGCUCAUCCCAUAUUCAACAGUUUCAGGUGAUUGAUAUCGGAGGCGCGUGGAGAGUCGAAUGGGCGCGUCGAAUCUAUUUAAAGAUAAAUGUUUCUUAAAACAUAUUAUGUUAUUUCAUGUGAUAUCUUUUAGUUAUGUAAACUCUGAAAUUCUAUACUAUUUGAGAUUUGUGUAUGAUUUGUUUAAAUAAAUGUUAUUAUAUUAUUUUAAUGUCAUGACUUGUUUAAUUUAUAUUUAAAUUCAUUUCAAAUAUUUAUUUAAGAAUUUAUAUCUUUACGAAAAUAUAUAUAUGGAUACAUACAUAAUUUUUAAUUAUAUAAAGAUUUUAUUUUGUUAUAUUUUCCGCUGCUAAAAAGAUAUUAUUUUAUAUUUAGAGUUUUUCCUUAGUAAAAGUUUUAUUAAUUAGUUAAUUAUUUUUCUGACAUCUUCAUGUCGUGCUUUGAAAAUAAAGUUGUUUAAAUUUAUGAAUUCAAAAUCAAGUUUUAUAUUUGAAUACAUUAUUGAAAAUUUUGAUAUCUUAUAAAUCGUUUUAAAAGUGCUUUAAAAACCAAUUUUAUUUAAAGAUUUCUUUUUCUUAAAAUUAUUUUCGAAAAUAUUUAUUUUAAAAGUGAGUUUUAAAUUAUUUUAAAAGACUUUCGCAUUAAAUAUUUAUUUAAAUUUUAUAUUUAACUCCUUAAUUAGAUUAGGGUGUUACAGCAUGGUAUCAGAGCAGGUCUACUUUCCUGUAGACUCUGCAAAAUAUUUUACAUAAAAUUCUUAAAUGUCAUGUGUGAGAAAAUCCAUUCGACCUCUACGUGCUCCGACUUCAAGGUAAAUGUAUUUUAAAAGUAUUUCAAAAUAUUUUAUAGGGAUGAGUAUAAAUUGUUUACGUUGAAAGUAUGUUGAAAUUUGCUGCAAUAAUUGAAGUUAUUAUCAGAAAGUUCAAGUUCAUUAUGCAAGUUAUUAUGAGAAAGUUCAGUAUUCAAAUUAUAUGUUGAAGAUUAUUGCAGCUAUGAGUAAAGAUAUUUCAAAUAUUUUUCAAGAUGAUGAGUAUAAAUUAUUUACGUUGAAAGUAUAGUGAAAUUGCUGCAAUGAUUGAAGUUAUUAUGAGAAAAUGUUCAAGUUCAGUAUUCAAGUUAUUAUGUUGAAGAUUAUUGCAACUAUGAAUUGUCAAAUUUCGAGGACGAAAUUCUUUUAAGUGGGUAGGUUUGUCACAGCCCAAAACCAUUUACUACCUUUGCAAAUUUUAUUUGAAAAUUUAUUGUAUUUUCGAGAUAUUAAAAAUAUAAAUCUAUGAGUCGAGUUUGUGAUGAAUUAUCUAGUCGCGCCCCUAGCUAGAUAUAUGACUCUAAAUUCUAGGUUAUACCUAUAGAAAUAAAGUUUUAUAUUCUAAAAUAUUUUUAUAUAAAUUUGGGCCUAAAUAAAUUUAUUUACUUAAAUAUAUUUAUCAUGGACAUUAUAUUAAUUUUUGGAUUAAGAAUAAAAUAUUUCAUAAUUUUUUUAAGUGUGCUUAUUGUUAUUAAUGUGCCAAAUUCUUUUGCAAUGAUCCUAAAACAAUUAUUCAAGUUUCAACAUUUAUAGUUUAUUAAUGAUUUUAAGGAUUUGGAUACCUUAUUUUCGUAUCUGCAAAUUUACAAUUUCUACUCUAUUUAUUUACAUUUGUUUAAAGAAGUCUCCAAGCCAGCCAUUCCUAUUUUCAUUCUUAUCAGAUAUCUAACCGCUCUAAUUAAAUAAAUGACUUUGAACUAUAGAUUAUAUUUAUAAAAAGAUACAAAUUUAUAUUAUCAAAUAUUUUUAAUAAAUAUGUUGGGCCAUAGUUUUUAUUCUUUUUCUAUGAUAGUUGGGUUAAAAUUUUAUUAUUUGAAAGCUCAUUUAUCAUCUUUAAAGCCCAAUUAUUAUUAUAAGCUCAUAUGUCUUUCUUUAAUUAAAAUGAGAUGUUACGUGGUUCAGUUUUUCCUUAGCCAAAUAUUCUGAUUUAAUCUCCUUCAGCCACCUAAUUUUAUUCAGCCACGUAUCACUCACUGCCAUCACAUUUAAAAUUCACCCAAAUAACUUGCUAGGUUUCAUUUCAUCAAAAUUUCCAGAGCACAAAUUUCAUUCAAGUUAACAGACUUCUCAUUUCUGUUCCUUCACAAAACUUCAGCUGGUAAUUUUAUUGUUUCGGUGAGAUUUCAUGUUUUAAUUCAUCACAGCAAAUUACUACGUUUUUUUUUCAUUCUCAUUUAUUUAUUUUGUGAAACAACACUAGCCCAUUUAUUUAUCAUACAUUACAAGCCCAUAUAUAUAUAUAUAUAUAUUAUUAAUGUGUAAAUAAAUUUUUAUGAAAAUGACUUCAGCUACAUAUCCACAUUUACUCAGCUUCAGCCAUAUAUCACUGUAGUACCUUUCCGUCAGAUUUGAUCAAAACUACAGCAAAACUUUGAUUUCAAAAGCAGCAUGAUCAAUACAGCAGCAAAACUUUGAUCAGCAAACUUUGAUUUCUUUCACAUUCAAAUCUUUGACGAACAAGUAAUUUACUACCUAUUUAAAUAUGACCAUCAUCGCUGCAAAUUUUACAAAGCAAAACUAUACUUUCGGAAAAAUCAAGUUUUUCUUUAUUUUUCCAAAUAUUUUUUUAUAUGAAUUUGGACCUCAAUAAAUUAUAGCUUAUUUAUAUUGGAGCAGAUUUAUGAUGUUGGGCCAAAUAUAUUAUGUAACUUUGCAUAAUUUUAAAACAUUAGCUAUUAUUAAAUAUAAAUUUUAUUCUUAACAUUUUAGUAUAAUUUGGGCCUUGUAUAAAAUAUUUUUGUAGGCUAUUUGUUUGAAGCCUCACUUGUAUUCAUGGGGUAAAAAUAUUGAAAAACCCAUAAUAUUUUAGAUACUUAUCGAAUGUGAUUCUUUAAAUUUUUUGUAGAAUUUCAACCACAACUUUAAUUCUUCCAGUUUAAGAAUCCUCCUCAGCCAUCCAAUUUAUUUAGUCAAUCUUGUGCAAUAAGGAAUUCAUUUUAUCCUUUCCACCGCCUCAUUUUUUUUAUAAAAUUAGCUUCUCUCAUUUUCUGGAAAUAUUUCGAAAAUACAGCAAGCCAAAUUUGAUUUCCACAGCAGCAAAUUUUGAAGCAGCAAACUUUGAAGCAACAAAGUUUGAUUGAUCUCUUUUCACACUUUCACACGUUCUAUGUCAAAUAUUUCAAUCUAUUUAAACAUCAAUGUAUCAUUCUCAAAUUCACAAAUCAACAAAAAUUCACUCAAAUAUUUCCAAUUCGCAGCAACUGAUUUACUUCACUCAUUCAAGCUGGUAAUUUUAAUAACUUUCGAAAAGUUAUUUCAUUUCAAGCAUAUCAACAAUUUUCUGCAUUUUCGCCAAAACCAAUGCUAAACAUCAAAAACUUUGUUUUCAAAAUCCAAUCAUGCAUACAUCUAUUUUUCUGUAAUUUAUAUAUAUUGCUAAAUACAUGAAAAAGAAAAUAGAAUAAAUCUUAUAUAUUACAUGAGAAAUAGAGAUAGAAGAAGUGGAAGAGGGAUGGUGGCUUAGAAACAAGGGGGCGGUUGAGCAGCAGUAUUGCCGGCGCUGCACGUCGGCCGGCGGAAGGAGACAGGGGCGGCGGCGCUGUGGUCUCGACCGCUGCCGUGCCUUGCUGGUCGAGACAGAGGGAGCAGGAGGCGGCGAUGGAAGCCCCGCUGCUGCUGUCGGCCAGGAGGUGAAGGAGAUGAGGGAGGCGGUGACUAGGCGGCGCUGCUGUCGACGUGGGAGCGACGAUGGCGGCCGUUGCUACCGGCCGAAGGAGAGAGGGAGGGGGCUGUAGACACGGGGGUGAGGUCGUUGGAGAGAGAGACGACGCAGAGAGGGAGAGUGAGGGCGAGAGCCGCCAGCUCCGGCGGCGGCGUUGCCGUCUGGUGGCGGCGGAAGGGUGAGACCGAGGGAGAGAAGGAGAGAGGGAGAAAGGGGAAGAAGGGAGCUGCGCAUGGAGCGUGUAUUGUGAAGUAGUGGUGUGUGUGUGAGAUCUUUAAGUUAGGGCAAGAGAGGAGAGUGGGCUUGGGCUUAGGCCUAAGCUAAUUUAUGAAUGGGCUAAGUUUAUCAAGUGUUUGGACUAGCAUUUUAUUUAGUUAAUUCUUUUAAGCAGUAAGCAUAAUUUAUUUAAGCCCAUAAUUACUCUUUAUUCCCACUUCAGAUUUUCUCAAAAAUUUAUAUAAAUAAUUUUCUCAAGUUUAGUUAUAUUAAAGUACUUUGUAAAUUCAAUUAGGCCCUUAUGUUAAUUAUUUGAAUUUAUCUGACUAGGUGCGGCGCGACUAGGACGUGAACUUUAAAUUCUUGCAGUUAAUUUUCAAAACUCAAAAGUUCAAGUUUCAGGUGUGGGAUUUAUUUCAGUACAUGCACGUGGUUAAUAUUUGUCCAUUUUAAUAUUAUGUGUUUACCGUAUGUGUUGUAAAAAUAUUUAUCGCUAGGGGCCAGCAUAAUUGGUCCAGGACUUCACCGUCCUUGGUAUGCCACAAUGCGAUUUCACGUUACAGGGUUGCAACCAUUAUAUUGUCGCCAGGGAUCCAUAUAUAGGGUCCGGGACAUUAAAGUCCUUGGAGUUGCCACAGUGCGUAUGGAAGUUAUGUUACGUUAUGACAAUAUGUGUUACCAUUUUAUUAACAUGGACAAUUAUUGCAUGUUCCCACACUGAGUGUACCCUGUAUGCUCAUCCCAUAUUCAACAGUUUCAGGUGAUUGAUAUCGGAGGCGCGUGGAGAGUCGAAUGGGCGCGUCGAAUCUAUUUAAAGAUAAAUGUUUCUUAAAACAUAUUAUGUUAUUUCAUGUGAUAUCUUUUAGUUAUGUAAACUCUGAAAUUCUAUACUAUUUGAGAUUUGUGUAUGAUUUGUUUAAAUAAAUGUUAUUAUAUUAUUUUAAUGUCAUGACUUGUUUAAUUUAUA